AGGAUGGCACGCUGAGCAGACAGAUAGAGAUGAACUCAUCUCAGCUCAGAGUGUUUCAAAGUUAGUCACGUCAUUUUCUGAACUCAUUUGACACGUUUCAUGAGAAUUCUUCUCAUUUCUACCCAAUUUCAUAAACCUCAUUCAAAUUUGGCUGGCUUUCUUCUUUGCUCUGACACUCGGAACACAUUUAUUCUGACUUGACAGGACUUUAAUGAGCAUGCUGCUGGUAAGAAAAAAGAAUAUUACCAAGAAAUAGCUGUCACAAGAGAGCCUGGCUCUGAAUGCACGGAUGGAAAUCACAAUAAACAUUUACAAAAUCGAGAACAACAGGCAUUUGUUGAUCAUGAGACGGGUCACUUAUGUACGUAUUCAAGGAUCAGUGAUCAUGUUGUAAAGAAAACGAUCACUCCCUGACUCCUCCUGGUGUAAUGAGCAUCAAAAGCUCAUUUUUGUUGCCUCGCUUACUGUGUUACAAUCCAUCUCUGGCUGCUAAAGUCUGCCGUGUUUUAUUAAACUUGGAUCACAGGCUGCAGCCGGUGUAGCCGAGUCUUCAGUCAAACAGCGAAAAGGCAGUCCUUUAAUGCACCGGUCUGCUAAAGUACUUAACACUCUUUAUUAUGAUAAAGAAAGUUAAAAAUGAAGACUGGAGUUUAAUGGUCUACACACACAGUUCCCACCAGAUUUUGGACUGUUCUUCGCUCUAAGUGUGAAGUUGGAGGGCUUCAGCGGGUAAACACUGUUAACAGACAGUUGGAAGGUUUCCAUGGGGAGAAAAGGGGAUUGUUUCGGGUGUAUUUUGGCAGCGGUUUUGGCGUGUAGCUGAUGCUGGUAAUGGCAUGAAGGUGGGGGCUGCCGUCGGCUUGGGAUUUUUUUUGGUAAAUGUGCCAUUAUUUACGAGUCGGGUGGGCUGAGAGGGGGGACAAUAAACUUUCAUUUCUGGGAAAGCCAUUUGAUUUUACUAGACUUUGUAGAACCUAUAAGAGAAACACACACACAAAAAAAGGGGGCAAACCAGAAAGUAUUUAACAAGCGCAAAAAGUGUUUCCAUAUUCAGCUGUCACACAACACAGCAAUAAUGUGAGUACUCCCCUGGGUUUGACGGAGUCAUGCGGGCCCGAUGUGACACUAAUAGCGCUUUACUGGAAACGUACACAAGCAGUGCUGUGUAUGUUUCUGUGGGCAUGCUAAUGACAUCAAACCACUCACAAAAGCUAAAAAAAACCCAAGUCGAUGCAUAAUUCAUGUCAUUUUCUUCUGAUUGUAAAAUCUCUGUGACUUGCUGACACACAUGUUACUAGUCGGAUUACAAUAAACAUCUACCACGACAAGUCGUCUAGUGUCACAUUCGGCCUUCUGAUCUUAAAUCAAGAGCAACGCUGUGACAGUAGGAAUGACGUGAUUCCACUUGGUCUCGAUUAAGUUCCCUUUGUUUGAGGAAUUCCUUUAAAAAUUAGUAUUAAUAUGUUGAGACGAGCCAGCGGUAGCGUGAAGAAGAUGACAUUUGGUUUUCGUAAUAAGCUUUUCUGUUAGAAACACACUCAAAAACGGACUAAUUGACUUGUUAAGACGGUUGUGUUUAGGUCUGGAUGCUUCCACAUGUUGGCAGACAAGCAAUUGGACCCCUGUGUGGUAUAUGGCUGUAGGAUAAUCCCCAUUGUCCCGUUGGAUGCAUGUGGCUGAGACCCAGGAACUGCUCUGGCCUGGAUGUUAAGCCCUGGCAGCAGGAAAAAUUAUAGCUUUGGCCAGGAAAAGUCAACCAAAUGGGCUGAUUCUUCUCAUUCAAUCCAAAGGACUUCACACAGCUGCACUUUUCUUUCACUGCCAGGGAAGAAGACGGUCUGAAAGAGAGAGAGGCGGAGUGGGGAACAGUUGGGGGGCAUUUGGACUGGAUCAGCCUCAAAGAACAAAAAAAUAGAAGAGCAAGAGGCGGCUUAGACUCAUCUUGGACAUCAAACUCUAUUUUUGGGCUGUGUUUGGACUCGUAAACAAUCCCUCAGAUUUGUUUCUCGUGAUUGGAGACGCUUUUCAGCGAGGACGGAUAUACUUCACGAGCGAACGUGACUCUCUGGGAGUCACAGCAGGUCAUGGAGAAGAAAAGAGCGUCCGUUACAAGGACAUUUCAUCCGAGAUGUUUAACAGAUGAGUAAUGUGCUGCUCACCACUGCACCCACCUUACAGUGUUACUUGAGUUGCAGAACCGAUUUGCAUCCUCGUAAACCAAAAUGCUAAGGUGGCCCCGAGUGCUCAGCAACAACUUGACAACAUGUUGAUUGAUCAGGGGAAAUUGGUUUGCAGAGUGGCCACAAAAACCGAACAAUGAAGCAAUAAAAACACACGCAGUAAAAAGAGUUUACAUGCGGCACACACCCAGAACCAGUGAUGGGGUGGGUUUGACAGAAGGAAAACAACCCCAAACAAGUCGUCCUUUCUCAAAAUCAGUGUGUCUAAGACUGAAGAGAUGCUGAUCUCAGCAUCAGCAAUUGUUCCGUUACAGAAAACGAUUUGCAAUUUGCAAUGUCGACAGGGCUUUUAUGCUGAAACUGUUCUUACUUUGUGAGUUGGUCCGCUUUAAACGGGUCAGAGUUCAUUUCCUCGGACAGUCCACUUCGUUUGGGCAGGUGUGAAAGCUCUUCUGAACCAAAGAGAUGAAGUGAACCAAAAACCUAUGUACAGAGCAACAUGCUGCCUUACCUGCUGCUUGCUUACCAAUUAGGUCUGAACACCAAACCAAUAGAUCUAACAAUCCGCUUUCAAAACAAAGCGAACCAAACCAACCAACAAAUGAAGGUGUGAAAUUUUUUCGGCGUUCCCCGCCCAAUGAGAACAAGAACAGACUGCAGAGUUUCGUCAAGCUGAACGGAACCAGGUCGCUGAAGAAGGCCCGGUCGGUCCUGGCUGACCUCAGGCUCUGUUUGUCUGAGUUGUUGCAUUAAGAUACAGUCUGCCAAGAUGCAAGAAUAACAGAUGCAAGAACUCCUUUGUUCCUGCUGCUGUUGGCCUCCUUAACAGCUCCAUGUGACUGUUUGGUGCAUUUAUUCUUCAUUUAUUGGUUGUUUGUUAUUUAUGUUUGUGUUGUUACUGCUGCUGCAUCACAAAUUGCCCCUCGGGGAUGAUAAAGAUUACCUUAAAAAAAAAAAAUAUUGCAUAAGAAAGCAUGCUUUUUACAUGUAGAUUCUUUAGGCUGAAUACGUGUUGUCGGAUUCUCAACUUGCCUGUGUUUAUUAUUUCCUUGCAGCACUUUUUUUCUGAACUCUCUGAGCAUUUGUUUGUGUUUUUUCUGUUUGUGUUUCCUUAAGUUGCAGUUAAGCUCCCAUAAUUAUCACUAACCAGAAGUUCACUACCUAAAUGCAGAGUAGUAAUGGAAAAAAAUAAAAUAAAAUCACAAACCAUGGAACAAAACACGACAAGUCCCGCAGUGGUGUAUUCAUCAAGUAGUCUGCAGAUAACUAUAAUUUGUAGCAUUCUACUGGCAAUAAAGACAGGCGCUAAAAAAGGUUCAAAUUAAAGCUGCAGUAACAAUAAAAGCAGUUUUUUGUGUUGUUUUUUUUUUUUUUUACAAUAAAUCACACGCCUACAAUAAGAAGGAAUUUGACAUCACCAUAUGCUCCGGGUCGACUGAGGACGUCUCGCAAAAACAACUGAUCCUCCAAUUCUCACAGCUUGAGACAUCAUUUAAUCAGAACCACACUCGCCAUCGCCAUCAUUGCCAUCGCCAUCAUUUCACACGUCAUCAAAAGCCAAUUUCCAAAGUCUCGUUUACGAUAGGCGAGCUGUUGUCGAACAACAGAGCGCAACCGUGUCAUCGGCAUCUGGAGCGAUAUCAAUUAACCCCGGAGAGAAGACACGUCCAAUUCAAUAAAUCUGCGGGGAUAAAGUGUGAGAAAAGUGGGCCGGGUCACACUGGUGAUUGUUUUUUUUUUGUGUUGUCCAGAGUCGGACACAUGGACUGUGUAAUUCUAGUCCAGGAUUGACCACACAGGGCCGGUUGUGAGGUCCAGGGAGUGCUGGAGAA